AUUGAACGCUGGCGGAAUGCUUUACACAUGCAAGUCGAACGGCAGCACGGACUUCGGUUUGGUGGCGAGUGGCGAACGGGUGAGUAAUAUAUCGGAACGUGCCCAGUCGUGGGGGAUAACGUAGCGAAAGUUACGCUAAUACCGCAUACGAUCUACGGAUGAAAGCGGGGGACCGUAAGGCCUCGCGCGAUUGGAGCGGCCGAUGUUAGAUUAGGUAGUUGGUGGGGUAAAGGCUCACCAAGCCGACGAUCUAUAGCUGGUCUGAGAGGAUGAUCAGCCACACUGGGACUGAGACACGGCCCAGACUCCUACGGGAGGCAGCAGUGGGGAAUUUUGGACAAUGGGCGCAAGCCUGAUCCAGCCAUUCCGCGUGCAGGACGAAGGCCUUCGGGUUGUAAACUGCUUUUGUACAGAACGAAAAGGUUUCUACUAAUACUAGGAGCUCAUGACGGUACUGUAAGAAUAAGCACCGGCUAACUACGUG
rnacentral:rRNA from 1 species